GGCGCGCCCAGCUCCCGGGCU
rnacentral:miRNA from 1 species